rnacentral:rRNA from 1 species
UUUUUUAUAAAAGUAAUUUAUUUAUAUUAAGUUUUAGUAUUUAGUAAAAAUUAAUUUAUAGAUUUAUAGUUUAAUAGUAUUGUAAAAGAAUUAAUUAAAUUUUUUAAAGAAUGUUUUUAGUACCUUUUGUAUCAGGGUUAAUUAAAAUUUUUAAUUUUUUUUUAAUUUCUCAAAAUUUAUAGAGUUAAUUUUAUUAUUAAUUUAUUGUGUUAUAAAUAUUUAAAAAAUAAUAUUAGUUUUGAAAUUUAAUUCGUUAUAUUAUAUUUAGUUAUUUAAGAUUUAAAUUUAAUUUAAAAUUUUAAAAGUUAUUUUGAUUUUAUAUAUUAAUAUUUUAAAUUUAAAUUAUUUUAGGGAUAAGCUUAAAAUUUUUAUAUAAUAAUUUAUUUAUUUUAAUAAUUUAUAGGAAUAGAAAUUUUUAUUUUAAGUUUGUAAAAAUUUAUUAUUUAUUUAUUUUUAAUUUAUUAUAAAUUUAUUUAUUUUUUUUAUUAAAUUUUAUUAAUUAAUAUUUAAUUUUUAGUAAUAAUGAUUAAAUUAGUAUAAUUUAUAUUUAUAAAUUAUGAAUUCGGCAAAAAUUAUUUUCAUCUGUUUAACAAAAACAUUGUAUUAAGUUUAAUUUAAUAUAGGAUCUGCUCAAUGAUUUAUUAAAUAGCUGCAGUAUUCUGACUGUGCAAAGGUAGCAUAAUAAUUAGUCUUUUAAUUGAGGACUUGUAUGAAAGAUUUGAUGAGAAAUAAACUUUAUUAUUUAUAUAAUUAAAAUUUUAUUUUUAAGUAAAAAAGCUUAAAUUAUUUAAAGGGACGAUAAGACCCUAUAAAACUUUAUAAAUGUUAAUUUUAAUUUUUUUGGAUUAAUAAAUAUUUUAAUUUUAUUAUUUAUUUUAUUGGGGUGAUAAAAAAAAAUAUUUAACUUUUUUUAAAAUUUUACAUUAUUUAAUGAAUAUUUGAAUUAAAAUUUUUAAUUAUAGGAAAAAGUUACUUUAGGGAUAACAGCGUAAUUAAUUUUUUAAGUUCAAAUUUGAAAAUUAGUUUGCGACCUCGAUGUUGAAUUAAGAUUAAUCUUAGGUGCAAAAUUUUAAGUAUUAGGUCUG